UGGAGCUGGCUGAGGCAAAGAAGAUUCUAGAAAGGAUCAUCUCUCGAGACCACUACACGUUUCUGGGUGAAACCAAUCCUAAACAAGUCCCCACCGGGGAGAGCCAUCUUCAAUGGGAAGAGGAAUUAGCUGCAGCCGUCCCUGAGGGGGGCGAUGGGGGUGUCACACUGACACGUGAGGACUUUGUAGUUUUGGUCGCUACUUUUGACUAUGGAAAGAAAGACAAGGACCCCAUCAAAGAUGUGUUUUUCUACAGCAAAAGAAACCUUGAUGAAGCAUCCAACUUAAGAGAAAAGGUGUCCAAGCUUCUCCCAGAAUGCUUUUCUGAGCAGCUGAUCAGGGUUUAAAGUAAGCAGACUGAUGAGCAGAGUGUGAAGGCUGCCAGGAAGCACUUCUCCAAGUUGGAUAAAGAGAAGGGCUGCCCAGAACCUCAGAAUGGAGACACUGCAACACCAUAAGUCAUCCCUGGGGGAAAUAUCCAGAACACUCCACCAGACGUUUUGGAAGAUAGAGAAUAAAAAGUGAAAACGAAAUCAAAAACUCCCUUAUUACUUAUAAACCUAUUGUCUAAUUAUGAUUGAUUCUAUAAGGUGAGUAUGAGUACAGUGCAGUACUUGACACUGUUUCUCCCAAAAACAAAUGAGUACCAGGAUAAGUUACUGCAUGUUUGGGCAAUAUACACAGUUUGUUUGGACACAUAACUUUGUUUGAUUAUUAAACACACUUUAAAUGUCAUGUUAGGAAACUGAAGCAUGUUGUAGGGGACCGGUGUAUUGAGCUAUCAGGGAUACUUAGCCUUCUGUGUUUAUUCUGUGUGUAUUCCUUAUAAUCAGGACACGCUAUAAAACACUACCCACAUGGAAAGGGGUUAAAGUGAAUAUUUAAAUUGUGGUUUAGUGAUUUAAAUAUUAAGGUGUUUGGGGUUUCUGUUAAUGUGGGUGCAUUGAUGUGAUAAUCUGAUGAUAUAUUAUAUAAGGGAAGCUUUGA